rnacentral:rRNA from 1 species
GUCGAGCGAACAGAAGGGAGCUUGCUCCCGGAUGUUAGCGGCGGACGGGUGAGUAACACGUGGGUAACCUGCCUGUAAGACUGGGAUAACUCCGGGAAACCGGAGCUAAUACCGGAUAGUUCCUUGAACCGCAUGGUUCAAGGAUGAAAGACGGUUUCGGCUGUCACUUACAGAUGGACCCGCGGCGCAUUAGCUAGUUGGUGGGGUAAUGGCUCACCAAGGCGACGAUGCGUAGCCGACCUGAGAGGGUGAUCGGCCACACUGGGACUGAGACACGGCCCAGACUCCUACGGGAGGCAGCAGUAGGGAAUCUUCCGCAAUGGACGAAAGUCUGACGGAGCAACGCCGCGUGAGUGAUGAAGGUUUUCGGAUCGUAAAGCUCUGUUGUUAGGGAAGAACAAGUGCGAGAGUAACUGCUCGCACCUUGACGGUACCUAACCAGAAAGCCACGGCUAACUACGUGCCAGCAGCCGCGGUAAUACGUAGGUGGCAAGCGUUGUCCGGAAUUAUUGGGCGUAAAGGGCUCGCAGGCGGUUUCUUAAGUCUGAUGUGAAAGCCCCCGGCUCAACCGGGGAGGGUCAUUGGAAACUGGGAAACUUGAGUGCAGAAGAGGAGAGUGGAAUUCCACGUGUAGCGGUGAAAUGCGUAGAGAUGUGGAGGAACACCAGUGGCGAAGGCGACUCUCUGGUCUGUAACUGACGCUGAGGAGCGAAAGCGUGGGGAGCGAACAGGAUUAGAUACC